rnacentral:rRNA from 1 species
GACGAACGCUGGCGGCGUGCCUAAUACAUGCAAGUAGAACGCUGAAGGAGGAGCUUGCUUCUCUGGAUGAGUUGCGAACGGGUGAGUAACGCGUAGGUAACCUGCCUGGUAGCGGGGGAUAACUAUUGGAAACGAUAGCUAAUACCGCAUAAGAGUAGAUGUUGCAUGACAUUUGCUUAAAAGGUGCAAUUGCAUCACUACCAGAUGGACCUGCGUUGUAUUAGCUAGUUGGUGGGGUAACGGCUCACCAAGGCGACGAUACAUAGCCGACCUGAGAGGGUGAUCGGCCAAACUGGGACUGAGACACGGCCCAGACUCCUACGGGAGGCAGCAGUAGGGAAUCUUCGGCAAUGGACGGAAGUCUGACCGAGCAACGCCGCGGGAGUGCAGAAGGUUUUCGGAUCGUAAAGCUCUGUUGUAAGAGAAGAACGAGUGUGAGAGUGGAAAGUUCACACUGUGACGGUAGCUUACCAGAAAGGGACGGCUAACUACGUG